AGCCCCUCCUGGCCCUUCUUCCCCCCCCAUCCUCAGCACGGAGCCCUCGGAUCCCGAGACUACAUCAACGUGUCGCCGCGGACGCCGAGCGCCGAGGACGUGCUGUAUUCCACCGUCACCAUCACAGAGCGCGGGGGGGGCGCGUCCCCGCGGGGUCCCCUCAGCCCCCCAGGAGGCCGCUGUCACCUACACGGACCUCCGGGGGAUGCAGCAUCCGAGCGACAGCUACGAGAACCUCCCUCACCAAUAAACGCCGGUCGUUCGUUGCC